UAUAAUGUUAUAUACUUUUUAUAGACAUAAAAAAUGAUGGUAAAUUUCAGACCAUACUAAUAGAUUUCUAUGAAAAACAUAAACUCAAGACCAUUGAACAUUCUGACGAUGCACCUGAAACAAGUGUUAACAAUAAAAAACCUAAACUCAAUACCAUUAUACAUUCUGACGAUGCACCUGAAGUAUCUGUUGACAACAGACGGUUUGAAGAUGAUGAAUCUUUUGGAAUUGUUAAAAAUCUAUUCACGAAUCAAUUCACAGAACCUUGGAGCCCAGAAGAAUUAAAAAAAAAAUUGGAUGACAUGAGUAAGUUUACAUGACUGCUUACCGGCUAUCACAUAGUUAUAAUAAUAUAAUAUUACAUUUUAUUAUUUGAUAAUAAAUUUAUAUAUUAUAUCAUUAUAAUUCAGGAUCAGGGAAGAGGGAAUUAAUUCAGUAUAAAAUAGUAUAUAGUAAAUUGUAGUCUUGUUGUAUACUUUAUCAGUAAUAUAACGGUCACACGUACUAUUAACAGUAGAAGGAUAAAUUAUGUAAUUAACAAGUAGUUGUAAAAAACUCAUUUUUUUUUCAAAAUUAUUAUCUGUGGGUGUACCUAAUAUGUAGGUAGUUAAUAUUCGUGUGCCGUUUUCUUCCUACGUGGUGUGAUUAAUACGACACACAGAUUUUUAAUACAUCUCUUAAUAUUAUAAAUCAUCAUAAAGUUAAUGUUACAAGCACCGCUCACCUUUCAUGUUCCUUGCUGUUUUUUUUUAUUUUAAACCUACAUACACUUUUAUAAUAUAUGUUUGUAUGACCAGCUAGUGUAUACUAAAAUCUUUUGUUACUUAUAUAUAGUAUCAGUUUAUAAAAUCGAUGUUGUAUUUUAUUAUCCACUGGGUGUGUUUGCUUAUAAUUAUGCGCAUAAUAGUCCUCAAGAAAUGUUAAGAUCAGUGGCAGCGUAUUGUAAUGCUUACAGCAUAUUUAUAGAAGCAGUAAAUGAAAAAAAAUAGUAGUACAAAAAAGUCUUUUGCAGGUACCUUAUAUAUACGCAAGUAAACUAUCAAUUGCUACUAUAAUAUAAUGUAUUUAGUCCAUAAUUAAAAAACUAAAUAAAUCAACUGUUAUUUUAUUUUAUUUUAUUUUUU
rnacentral:lncRNA from 1 species